rnacentral:lncRNA from 1 species
UGGAGGAGGACAAAGCAAGAAUCUCCGAUCAACUUUUAGAUGGUCGUAGUCAAACAGAGUUUUCUGAUGCAUUUAAAAGUGAGGAAGCGAGGGAAGAUGUGCAUGUGGUGUCUUCGGCAAAAGAUUUACCUGCAUCAGACAACCCUGAACUCUUGCUUAAAGACUUCAAAGACUACAAUAAGUUCAAAUCUACUUUGCCAUUGGAUCUUGGCUCUUCUGAACCUGAACCUCUUUCUACUGAUGGCGACUCUUCAAAGAAUUCGCUUCCUUCAGGUUCACCAACCGACCACUCAGAUAUGGACACCAUUAUUUCAUCUGUUCAGGAAGAAGCCAAGCAAGCAAUAAAAGUUGAUGAUCCUGUAAUUGAAAGGACAGAAACAACUUUUAGUAGGUUCCCCAACCGACCACUCAAACGGAGUUUAUGGUGGUAGUCAAACGGAGUUUUCGGAUGCAUCUAAAACUGAGGAAGCGAGGGAAGAUGUGCAUGUGGUGUCAUUGGCAAAAGAUUUACCUGCAUCAGACAACCCUGAACUCUUGCUUAAAGACUUCAAAGACUACAAUAAGUCCAAAUCUACUUUGCCAUUGGAUCUUGGCUCUUCUGAACCUGAACCUCUUUCUACUGAUGGCGACCCUUCAAAGAAUUCGCUUCCUUCAGGUUCCCCAACCGACCACUCAAACGGAGUUUAUGGUGGUAGUCAAACGGAGUUUUCUGAUGCAUCUAAAACUGAGGAACCGAGGGAAGAUGUGCAUGUGGUGUCGUUGGCAAAAGAUUUACCUGCAUCAGACAACCCUGAACUCUUGCUUAAAGACUUCAAAGACUACAAUAAGCUCAAAUCUACUUUGCCAUUGGAUCUUGGCUCUUCUGAACCUGAACCUCUUUCUACUGAUGGCGACCCUUCAAAGAAUUCGCUUCCUUCAGGUUCCCCAACCGACCACUCAGAUAUGGACACCAUUAUUUCAUCUGUUCAGGAAGAAGCCAAGCAAGCAAUAAAAGUUGAUGAUCCUGUAAUUGAAUAAACGGAGUUUAUGGUGGUAGGCAAACGGAGUUUUCUGAAUCAUCUAAAACUGAGGAACCGAGGGAAGAUGUGCAUGUGGUGUCGUUGGCAAAAGAUUUACCUGCAUCAGACAACCCUGAACUCUUGCUUAAAGACUUCAAAGACUACAAUAAGCUCAAAUCUACUUUGCCAUUGGAUCUUGGCUCUUCUGAACCUGAACCUCUUUCUACUGAUGGCGACCCUUCAAAGAAUUCGCUUCCUUCAGGUUCCCCAACCGACCACUCA